CCCGCUCAGAAACUCAAAGGAAUUGACGGGGGCUCGCACAAGCGGUGGAGCAUGUGGUUUAAUUCGAUGAUACGCGAGGAACCUUACCUGGGCUCGAACGUAAGAUGACUGUAGGUGAAAGCUUACAUCUCUUCGGAGCAUUUUACAAGGUGCUGCAUGGUUGUCGUCAGCUCGUGCCGUGAGGUGUCGGGUUAAGUCCCAUAACGAGCGCAACCCCUACCUUUAGUUGCCAUCAGGUUAAGCUGGGGACUCUAAAGGAACUGCCUACGCAAGUAGUGAGGAAGGCGGGGAUGACGUCAAAUCAGCACGGCCCUUACGUCCAGGGCUACACACGUGCUACAAUGGCCGAUACAGAGGGCAGCUACCUGGUGACAGGAUGCAAAUCUCCAAAGUCGGUCUCAGUUCGGAUCGGAGUCUGCAACCCGACUCCGUGAAGUUGGAUUCGCUAGUAAUCGCGCAUCAGCCAUGGCGCGGUGAAUACGUUCCCGGGCCUU
rnacentral:rRNA from 1 species